rnacentral:tRNA from 2 species
UGAGCUGUGGUGUAAUGGUAACACAGCAGAUUUUGGUUCUGUCGUUCUGGGUUCGAAUCCCGGCAGCUCAACCU